ACCUUUUCUUUGUAUAAUUAUUUCACAUGAUACACGCACCCACACACAUUCAAAUUUUUUCAAUUAAAAAAAAAGCUUUUGGCAUUUGAAACUGAUUUACUAAAAUGAGUUGAUCUCUCUGACUUGAUUUUCCCCACUAAAUAACACAAAACAAUCACUUCUCCUAAAUUCCUGUAAGUUCCUUACAGCACUCAAUUUAUUUCGUUUCCCAGGUUGUCCUUGACUUCUAUACCACCCAGGUACUGCUGGGAGCAUUGCAGGUCAGGAUUACACCAGCUCUCUGGGCUUUGUGUGGAAGAGCUUUUGGGUGCGGGGAUGUGCUUUGUGAAUACUCCCAGCAGCUACAAGGGACGCCUUCCAGGGAACCUGAGCUGUACUCCCUGUCCCUCAGAACGCUGUACUCUGUACACAGCAGCUCUCAUAAUGUGCUUAUUGUAAUCCAGCUAAAGUGUCAGGCCAGAGUGUGAAGAAAUCUUGAAGUUCCUACCUGAGUGAGCCAGCGUGUAGCAGUCUGAGGACCCUCUGUAUUGGACCCCUCUCAUCCUGCUUUUCACCGAAGCAUUCCUGACAUUGUAAACGGAAGUCAAUACAGCCUUUUCUCAAUAAAGGAGUUCUAAAAAGUUAA